UGAAACCGCGAUGGCUCAUUAAAUCAGUUAUGGUUCCUUAGAUGGUGCACAGUUACUUGGAUAACUGUGGUAAUUCUAGAGCUAAUACAUGCAACUCGGUCCCGACCGGCGACGGAAGGGACGCUUUUAUUAGAUCAAAACCAAUCGGUCUUCGGGCCGUUUGCCUUGGUGACUCUGAAUAAAUUGUGGCAGAUCGCACGGCCCCCGAGCCGGCGACGCAUCUUUCAAAUGUCUGCCUUAUCAACUGUCGAUGGUAGGUUCUGCGCCUACCAUGGUUGUAACGGGUAACGGGGAAUCAGGGUUCGAUUCCGGAGAGGGAGCCUGAGAAACGGCUACCACAUCCAAGGAAGGCAGCAGGCGCGCAAAUUACCCACUCCCGGCACGGGGAGGUAGUGACGAAAAAUAACGAUACGGGACUCAUCCGAGGCCCCGUAAUCGGAAUGAGUACACUUUAAAUCCUUUAACGAGUAUCCAUUGGAGGGCAAGUCUGGUGCCAGCAGCCGCGGUAAUUCCAGCUCCAAUAGCGUAUAUUAAAGUUGUUGCGGUUAAAAAGCUCGUAGUCGGACUUGUGUCCCACGCUGCCGGUUCACCGCCCGUCGGUGUCUAACUGGCAUGCACGUGCGGACGUCCUGCCGGUGGCCCGAGCCGGCGCGGGUCUCGCACCCGUCGUCCGGGGAAGGCCUAUCAUACCCGUCGCGGUGCUCUUAACCGAGUGUCUCGAUGGGCCGGCACGUUUACUUUGAACAAAUUAGAGUGCUUAAAGCAGGCAGCAUCCGCCUGAAUACCGAGUGCAUGGAAUAAUGGAAUAGGACCUCGGUUCUAUUUUGUUGGUUUUCGGAAUCCCCGAGGUAAUGAUCAAUAGGGACAGACGGGGGCAUUCGUAUUGCGACGUUGAAGGUGAAAUUCUUGGAUCGUCACAGGACGGACCGAAGCGAAAGCAUUUGCCAAGAAUGUUUUCUCUGAUCAAGAACGAAAGUUAGAGGUUCCAAGGCGAUCAGAUACCGCCCUAGUUCUAACCAUACACAAUGCCAGCCAGCAAUCCGCCAAAUUUCCUCCCAUGACUCCGCGGGCGGCUUCCGGGAAACCAAGCCUUUUGGGUUCCGGGGGAAGUAUGGUUGCAAAGCUGAAACUUGCCGAAUUC
rnacentral:rRNA from 1 species